rnacentral:rRNA from 1 species
GUCCAGACUCCUACGGGAGGCAGCAGUGGGGGAUAUUGGACAAUGGGGGGAACCCUGAUCCAGCGACGCCGCGUGAGUGAAGAAGUAUUUCGGUACGUAAAGCCCUAUCAGCAGGAAAGAAAAUGACGGUACCUGACUAAGAAGCCCCGGCUAACUACGUGCCAGCAGCCGCGGUAAUACGUAGGGGGCAAGCGUUAUCCGGAUUUACUGGGUGUAAAGGGAGCGUAGACGGCAGCGCAAGUCUGGAGUGAAAUGCCGGGGCCCAACCCCGGAACUGCUCUGGAAACUGUGAAGCUGGAGUGCUGGAGAGGUAAGCGGAAUUCCUAGUGUAGCGGUGAAAUGCGUAGAUAUUAGGAGGAACACCAGUGGCGAAGGCGGCUUACUGGACAGUAACUGACGUUGAGGCUCGAAAGCGUGGGGAGCAAACAGGAUUAGAUACCCCUGUAAC